GAUGAAGAACGCAGCGAAAUGCGAUAAGUAAUGUGAAUUGCAGAAUUCAGUGAAUCAUCGAAUCUUUGAACGCACAUUGCGCCCGCCAGUAUUCUGGCGGGCAUGCCUGUUCGAGCGUCAUUACAACCCUCAGGCCCCCGGGCCUGGCGUUGGGGAUCGGCGGAAGCCCCCUGCGGGCACAACGCCGUCCCCCAAAUACAGUGGCGGUCCCGCCGCAGCUUCCAUUGCGUAGUAGCUAACACCUCGCAACUGGAGAGCGGCGCGGCCACGCCGUAAAACACCCAACUUCUGAAUGUUGACCUCGAAUCAGGUAGGAAUACCCGCUGAACUUAAGCAUAUCAAUAAGCGGAGG
rnacentral:misc_RNA from 1 species